UACGGAGGAUGCAAGCGUUAUCCGGAAUGAUUGGGCGUAAAGCGUCCGCAGGUGGCAAUGUAAGUCUGCUGUCAAAGCGUCUGGCUCAACCAGAUAAAGGCAGUGGAAACUACAUAGCUAGAGUAAGGUAGGGGUAGAGGGAAUUCCUGGUGUAGCGGUGAAAUGCGUAGAUAUCAGGAGGAACACCUGCGGUGUAGACGGCUUACUGGACCAUAACUGACGCUGAGGCACGAAAGCGUGGGUAGCAAACAGG
rnacentral:rRNA from 1 species